ensembl:lncRNA
GAGUAAGAGCUAGGAGCCCAGCCCUGCACCUGGGGCUAGCCAGGGCCCUCCUGUCCUCCCGAAAACCUAUUCGAACAGGUGCGGCCCCUGGGUUCCUGGAGGGGGAGGAGCAGCACCCUGACCCUUGGGCCUCCCAAGCAGCCCUAGGGCAGUGGCCGGAAGGCACUCUCCUCCUCUACCCUCCAUCUUCCUGUCCAGCUUCAUCCGGACCACUGCAGCAGCCUCCUCUUGGAGCUCCCUGAGCACACUCCACCUUCUACAGUCUGUUCCCCUGGUGCAGCCAGAGGACCCAGGAGACCGUUGAAUCAGACCCCAGCCCUGCUUACAGUCUUCCUUAACUUCCCAUUGUAUUUAGAGUAAAAUUCACUAUAUGGCCCCACUGCACUUAGAAUAAAAUAAAAACUUCUUUUCAGGCAAAUAAUAAUAAUCAAAUCAUUAUAUGUCAAUUAUAUAUCAAU